AAACUUUCAACAACGGAUCUCUUGGUUCUGGCAUCGAUGAAGAACGCAGCGAAAUGCGAUAAGUAAUGUGAAUUGCAGAAUUCAGUGAAUCAUCGAAUCUUUGAACGCACAU
rnacentral:rRNA from 1 species